rnacentral:rRNA from 1 species
AACUGCAGGACACAUGAACAUCGACAUUUUGAACGCACAUUGCGGCCCAUGCUAAUGUUUAACUUGUUAGACUGCAUGGACCACGUAUGGUUGAGUGUCGUAA